UACGUAGGGGGCUAGCGUUGUCCGGAUUUAUUGGGCGUAAAGAGCGUGUAGGCGGCCAGGUAGGUCUGGUGUGAAAACUCGAGGCUUAACCUUGAGAUGUCAUCGGAAACCAUUUGGCUAGAGUCCGGAAGAGGAAAGUGGAAUUCCUGGUGUAGCGGUGAAAUGCGCAGAUAUCAGGAAGAACACCAAUGGCGACAGCAGCUUUCUGGGACGGUACUGACGCUGAGACGCGAAAGCGUGGGGAGCGAACAGG
rnacentral:rRNA from 1 species